GAUGAAUCGGAGACUCUGAGCC
rnacentral:miRNA from 1 species